rnacentral:lncRNA from 10 species
UUAGAGAACUCUCAAGAAAGAAGUUCAAGAAAGUAGAACUCUACUUGUAAGUCAGGUCUAGCAGUGCUGAAUUCCCUUAGCCAUCAUUUGUCUGAGAAAGUUGUUAUCUCCUUUUCAUUUUUGAAAGACAAAAUUGCUGGGCAUAGUACUAUGGUUGGCAGGUCUUUUUUCUCAGAGGAUUUUGAAUCCCACUAACUCUGGCAUGCAAGGUUUCUCAUGAAAAAUCUGAUGAUAGUCUUGUGGGGGACCCUUGUAUUUAACAUGUUGCUUUUUCAUUGUUGCUUUUUAAAAAAUACUCUGUCUUUAAUUUUUGACAAAUUGAUUAUAACAUGUCUUAAUAAGGAUCUCUUUGGAUGGAUAGUAUUCGGUGUCCUUUGAAUUUUCUAGAUCUGGAGUUCUAUUUCCCCAGGCUUGAGUAGUUUUCUGCCUUUACAUCUUUGAAAGUGUUUUCUCUCACUUUUUCUUUCUUCUCCUUCAGGUAUUUUUUGAAUUUAU